GCGUUGUGCACGCUUUUUGGUUGUUGCACGGCGUCCGGCUGUUUUACGCGAAGACAUGUUUGUAUUCCUAAAAUUAUGAAUAAAAAAGACAAUUACAUCAUUUAAUUCAUAUUUUUUACAAUUAAUUUAGGAUAUCACGACGUAACCAAAAUCAGGAUAAAAAUAAGAUCGUCUGCGUGACGGUUCAACAAAGAGGACAUUACACUCUACAUCUAUAGAAAUCUAUAUAAAAAUACAUAUCCUUCGUACAGUUCAAUUUGAAUUUUAAACUAUAAUUUAAAUAGCAAAAUUGGAACACUAGAAUCUGCUGCACGCUCGUUUGAACAGAAUUUUCGCUCAGCUAUAUUCGAACAGGCUAUAUUUGACUUUUAAUAAAUAUUUAUUGGUUAUAAUUGGAACUCUUAUAAAAUUGCUAUACAAAGAACGUCAUUGUUUUUAAAGGACAAAAGAUUGUUUUCAUAUCUGCAAAUCAGUCAUUGGAAGUUUUCAUAUUGAAACGUUAAAGUACACAAACGAAUUUCUACCAACCUGAUUAAUAGCAGCUACGAAAUGAGAAGAACUCCAAAAAGUGUACAGCACAGAUACUCGUGCACCACUGUGACUCACGUUACGCGUCACUCUAUGGUUAUUCACCACACCCGGGAUACGUCAUUACAGGUACCUUAGUUGGAGUAAAUCGUUGACGGUGAAAUCAUUACCUUAUAAGGCAAUGAAAGAAUCCGAUAUAUACACAUGUAGUUGACAUUCAUUUCGUAAUCAUAUUUACAGUAUAUCUGGCAAAUAAUGAUACUGAAACGCAUUGAUCCGAAUUGAAACUAUUUACAAAAGCGUUAUAACUAUAUUUUUGGUAUGUACUUCCCGUAAAGAUAUAACAAAAUAUAAAAUAAAACAAGA
rnacentral:lncRNA from 1 species